rnacentral:rRNA from 1 species
GACGAACGCUGGCGGCGUGCUUAACACAUGCAAGUCGAACGGAAAGGCCCUGCUUUUGUGGGGUGCUCGAGUGGCGAACGGGUGAGUAACACGUGAGUAACCUGCCCUUGACUUUGGGAUAACUUCAGGAAACUGGGGCUAAUACCGGAUAGGAGCUCCUGCUGCAUGGUGGGGGUUGGAAAGUUUCGGCGGUUGGGGAUGGACUCGCGGCUUAUCAGCUUGUUGGUGGGGUAGUGGCUUACCAAGGCUUUGACGGGUAGCCGGCCUGAGAGGGUGACCGGACUAGAGGGGACGGCGGGGCGGCGCAGUGGCGUAGGGGAGGCAGCAGGGGGAAACAUGGCCCAGUGGGGGGGAGCGUGUUGAGGCAACGCCGCGGGUGGAAGGCCGGCUUGUGGGUGGAGAACGGCUUUCGCUUAAGACGCAGCGGGUGUGACGGUACGGGGAGAAGAAGCACCGGCUAACUACGUG